rnacentral:rRNA from 1 species
UACGUAGGGUGCAAGCGUUAAUCGGAAUUACUGGGCGUAAAGCGUGCGCAGGCGGUUAUGCAAGACAGAUGUGAAAUCCCCGGGCUUAACCUGGGAACUGCGUUUGAAACUGGGAGGCUUGAGUGUGGAAGAGGGGGGUGGAAUUCCAGGUGUAGCAGUGAAAUGCGUAGAGAUCUGGAGGAACACCGAUGGCGAAGGCAGCCCCCUGGGCUAACACUGACGCUCAUGCACGAAAGCGUGGGGAGCAAACAGG